rnacentral:rRNA from 1 species
AACGAACGCUGGCGGCAUGCCUACCACAUGCAAGUCGAACGAGACCUUCGGGUCUAGUGGCGCACGGGUGCGUAACGCGUGGGAACCUGCCCUUAGGUUCGGAAUAACUCCCCGCAAGGGGUGCUAAUACGGGAUAAUGUCUUCGGACCAAAGAUUUAUCGCCUUUGGAUGGGCCCGCGUUGGAUUAGCUCGUUGGUAGGGUAAAAGCCUACCAAGGCGACGAUCCAUAGCUGGUCUGAGAGGAUGAUCAGCCACACUGGGACUGAGACACGGCCCAGACUCCUACGGGAGGCAGCAGUGGGGAAGAUUGGACAAGGGGCGAAAGCCUGAUCCAGCAAUGCCGCGUGAGUGAUGAAGGCCUUAGGGUUGUAAAGCUCUGUUACCCGGGAUGAUAAUGACAGUACCGGGAGAAUAAGCACCGGCUAACUCCGUG